rnacentral:rRNA from 1 species
CGAGGAAUAUUGGUCAAUGGGCGCAAGCCUGAACCAGCCAUCCCGCGUGAAGGAAGAAUGCGCUACGCGUUGUAAACUUCUUUUCCAGGGGGAGAAUUUUCCUGUCGAGACAGGGAUUGACGGUACCCUGGGAAUAAGCAUCGGCUAACUCCGUGCCAGCAGCCGCGGUAAUACGGAGGAUGCGAGCGUUAUCCGGAUUUAUUGGGUUUAAAGGGUGCGUAGGCGGAUUGAUAAGUCAGUGGUGAAAUUCUGCAGCUUAACUGUAGACUUGCCGUUGAUACUGUUAGUCUUGAGUGUGGUCAAGGCAGGCGGAAUGUGUAAUGUAGCGGUGAAAUGCUUAGAUAUUACACAGAACACCGAUUGCGAAGGCAGCUUGCUGGGUCAUUACUGACGCUGAGGCACGAAAGCGCGGGGAUCAAACAG